UUAAGCGACUAAGCGUACACGGUGGAUGCCCUGGCAGUCAGAGGCGAUGAAGGACGUGCUAAUCUGCGAUAAGCGUCGGUAAGGUGAUAUGAACCGUUAUAACCGGCGAUUUCCGAAUGGGGAAACCCAGUGUGAUUCGUCACACUAUCAUUAACUGAAUCCAUAGGUUAAUGAGGCGAACCGGGGGAACUGAAACAUCUAAGUACCCCGAGGAAAAGAAAUCAACCGAGAUUCCCCCAGUAGCGGCGAGCGAACGGGGAGCAGCCCAGAGCCUGAAUCAGUGUGUGUGUUAGUGGAAGCGUCUGGAAAGGCGCGCGAUACAGGGUGACAGCCCCGUACACAAAAAUGCACAUAUUGUGAGCUCGAUGAGUAGGGCGGGACACGUGGUAUCCUGUCUGAAUAUGGGGGGACCAUCCUCCAAGGCUAAAUACUCCUGACUGACCGAUAGUGAACCAGUACCGUGAGGGAAAGGCGAAAAGAACCCCGGCGAGGGGAGUGAAAAAGAACCUGAAACCGUGUACGUACAAGCAGUGGGAGCACGCUUAGGCGUGUGACUGCGUACCUUUUGUAUAAUGGGUCAGCGACUUAUAUUCUGUAGCAAGGUUAACCGAAUAGGGGAGCCGAAGGGAAACCGAGUCUUAACUGGGCGUUAAGUUGCAGGGUAUAGACCCGAAACCCGGUGAUCUAGCCAUGGGCAGGUUGAAGGUUGGGUAACACUAACUGGAGGACCGAACCGACUAAUGUUGAAAAAUUAGCGGAUGACUUGUGGCUGGGGGUGAAAGGCCAAUCAAACCGGGAGAUAGCUGGUUCUCCCCGAAAGCUAUUUAGGUAGCGCCUCGUGAAUUCAUCUCCGGGGGUAGAGCACUGUUUCGGCAAGGGGGUCAUCCCGACUUACCAACCCGAUGCAAACUGCGAAUACCGGAGAAUGUUAUCACGGGAGACACACGGCGGGUGCUAACGUCCGUCGUGAAGAGGGAAACAACCCAGACCGCCAGCUAAGGUCCCAAAGUCAUGGUUAAGUGGGAAACGAUGUGGGAAGGCCCAGACAGCCAGGAUGUUGGCUUAGAAGCAGCCAUCAUUUAAAGAAAGCGUAAUAGCUCACUGGUCGAGUCGGCCUGCGCGGAAGAUGUAACGGGGCUAAACCAUGCACCGAAGCUGCGGCAGCGACGCUUAUGCGUUGUUGGGUAGGGGAGCGUUCUGUAAGCCUGCGAAGGUGUGCUGUGAGGCAUGCUGGAGGUAUCAGAAGUGCGAAUGCUGACAUAAGUAACGAUAAAGCGGGUGAAAAGCCCGCUCGCCGGAAGACCAAGGGUUCCUGUCCAACGUUAAUCGGGGCAGGGUGAGUCGACCCCUAAGGCGAGGCCGAAAGGCGUAGUCGAUGGGAAACAGGUUAAUAUUCCUGUACUUGGUGUUACUGCGAAGGGGGACGGAGAAGGCUAUGUUGGCCGGGCGACGGUUGUCCCGGUUUAAGCGUGUAGGCUGGUUUUCCAGGCAAAUCCGGAAAAUCAAGGCUGAGGCGUGAUGACGAGGCACUACGGUGCUGAAGCAACAAAUGCCCUGCUUCCAGGAAAAGCCUCUAAGCAUCAGGUAACAUCAAAUCGUACCCCAAACCGACACAGGUGGUCAGGUAGAGAAUACCAAGGCGCUUGAGAGAACUCGGGUGAAGGAACUAGGCAAAAUGGUGCCGUAACUUCGGGAGAAGGCACGCUGAUAUGUAGGUGAAGUCCCUUGCGGAUGGAGCUGAAAUCAGUCGAAGAUACCAGCUGGCUGCAACUGUUUAUUAAAAACACAGCACUGUGCAAACACGAAAGUGGACGUAUACGGUGUGACGCCUGCCCGGUGCCGGAAGGUUAAUUGAUGGGGUUAGCGCAAGCGAAGCUCUUGAUCGAAGCCCCGGUAAACGGCGGCCGUAACUAUAACGGUCCUAAGGUAGCGAAAUUCCUUGUCGGGUAAGUUCCGACCUGCACGAAUGGCGUAAUGAUGGCCAGGCUGUCUCCACCCGAGACUCAGUGAAAUUGAACUCGCUGUGAAGAUGCAGUGUACCCGCGGCAAGACGGAAAGACCCCGUGAACCUUUACUAUAGCUUGACACUGAACAUUGAGCCUUGAUGUGUAGGAUAGGUGGGAGGCUUUGAAGUGUGGACGCCAGUCUGCAUGGAGCCGACCUUGAAAUACCACCCUUUAAUGUUUGAUGUUCUAACGUUGACCCGUGAUCCGGGUUGCGGACAGUGUCUGGUGGGUAGUUUGACUGGGGCGGUCUCCUCCUAAAGAGUAACGGAGGAGCACGAAGGUUGGCUAAUCCUGGUCGGACAUCAGGAGGUUAGUGCAAUGGCAUAAGCCAGCUUGACUGCGAGCGUGACGGCGCGAGCAGGUGCGAAAGCAGGUCAUAGUGAUCCGGUGGUUCUGAAUGGAAGGGCCAUCGCUCAACGGAUAAAAGGUACUCCGGGGAUAACAGGCUGAUACCGCCCAAGAGUUCAUAUCGACGGCGGUGUUUGGCACCUCGAUGUCGGCUCAUCACAUCCUGGGGCUGAAGUAGGUCCCAAGGGUAUGGCUGUUCGCCAUUUAAAGUGGUACGCGAGCUGGGUUUAGAACGUCGUGAGACAGUUCGGUCCCUAUCUGCCGUGGGCGCUGGAGAAUUGAGGGGGGCUGCUCCUAGUACGAGAGGACCGGAGUGGACGCAUCACUGGUGUUCGGGUUGUCAUGCCAAUGGCACUGCCCGGUAGCUAAAUGCGGAAGAGAUAAGUGCUGAAAGCAUCUAAGCACGAAACUUGCCCCGAGAUGAGUUCUCCCUGACUCCUUGAGAGUCCUGAAGGAACGUUGAAGACGACGACGUUGAUAGGCCGGGUGUGUAAGCGCAGCGAUGCGUUGAGCUAACCGGUACUAAUGAACCGUGAGGCUUAACCUU
rnacentral:rRNA from 1 species